GCAUAUCAAUAAGCGGAGGAAAAGAAAAUAACAAUGAUUUCCCUAGUAACGGCGAGUGAAGAGGAAAGAGCUCAAAGUUGGAAUCCGGCUGCCCUAGGUAGUUGGAAUUGUAAACUGGAGAGGUGUUUUCCAGGCGAGCCAAGCAAAUAAGUCCUUUGGAACAGGGCAUCAUAGAGGGUGAGAAUCCCGUCUUUGGCUUGAGCAUUGCCUUUUGCGAUACACUUUCAAAGAGUCAGGUUGUUUGGGAAUGCAGCCUAAAUUGGGUGGUAAAUCUCACCUAAAGCUAAAUAUUGGCGAGAGACCGAUAGCGAACAAGUACCGUGAGGGAAAGAUGAAAAGAACUUUGAAAAGAGAGUUAAACAGUAUGUGAAAUUGUUGAAAGGGAACCGUUUGGAGCCAGACCGGCUGUUCUAUAAUCAAUCUCUGCUUCGGUAGGGAUGCACUUGUAGGACUUUAGCCUGCCAACAGCAAUUUUCUUUGGUGGAAAAAACUAGGAGGAAUGUGGCCCUUCGGGGUGUUAUAGCCUCUUAGAAAAUACACUGAAGGGGAUUGAGGACUGCAGCAAAUGCUUUUGGCGAAAUAACUGGGUGCUUGUGUUAAGGAAGUAUAGAAUUUCUGCUUCGGGUGGUGCUAUGCUCUAAGAUGCAACUCGCUUAGACUAUUUUCUAUUUGCUUAGGUUGUUGGCUUAAUGACUCUAAAUGACCCGUCUUGAAACACGGACCAAGGAGUCCAUCAUAGGUGCAAGUCUUUGGGUUAAAAACUCAUAGGCGUAAGGAAACUGAUGGAUACGAAGGCCUCACGGCUGGCAGUAUCGUCCGGCAAUGACGUUUUAUACAGACUUGACCGAGAUAAAGCACUUAUGCUGGGACCCGAAAGAUGGUGAACUAUGCCUGAAUAGGGUGAAGCCAGAGGAAACUCUGGUGGAGGCUCGUAGCGAUUCUGACGUGCAAAUCGAUCGUCAAAUUUGGGUAUAGGGGCGAAAGACUAAUCGAACCAUCUAGUAGCUGGUCCUGC
rnacentral:rRNA from 1 species